UACGUAGGGUGCGAGCGUUGUCCGGAAUUAUUGGGCGUAAAGGGCUCGUAGGCGGUCUGUUCGCGUCGGGAGUGAAAACUCAGGGCUUAACCCUGAGCCUGCUUCCGAUACGGGCAGACUAGAGGUAUGCAGGGGAGAACGGAAUUCCUGGUGUAGCGGUGGAAUGCGCAGAUAUCAGGAGGAACACCGGUGGCGAAGGCGGUUCUCUGGGCAUUACCUGACGCUGAGGAGCGAAAGUGUGGGGAGCGAACAGG
rnacentral:rRNA from 1 species